GACGAACGCUGGCGGCGUGCUUAACACAUGCAAGUCGAACGGUGAAGCGCCUUCCUUUUUGGUGGGUGUGGAUGAGUGGCGAACGGGUGAGUAACACGUGAGUAACCUGCCCCCUUCUUCUGGAUAACCGCAUGAAAGUGUGGCUAAUACGGGAUAUUCUGGGUCAGUCGCAUGAUGGGUCUGGGAAAGAUAUUGUUUCGGUGGGGGAUGGGCUCGCGGCCUAUCAGCUUGUUGGUGGGGUGAUGGCCUACCAAGGCGGUGACGGGUAGCCGGCCUGAGAGGGUGGACGGUCACACUGGGACUGAGACACGGCCCAGACUCCUACGGGAGGCAGCAGUGGGGAAUAUUGCACAAUGGGCGCAAGCCUGAUGCAGCGACGCCGCGUGAGGGAUGGAGGCCUUCGGGUUGUGAACCUCUUUCGCCAGUGAAGCAGGCCUGCCUCGUUUGUGGGUGGGUUGACGGUAGCUGGAUAAGAAGCGCCGGCUAACUACGUG
rnacentral:rRNA from 1 species